rnacentral:rRNA from 1 species
UACGGAGGGGGCGAGCGUUAUUCGGAAUUACUGGGCGUAAAGGGCGCGUAGGCGGCUUGAUGUGUCAAAGGUGAAAUCCCUCGGCUCAACUGAGGAACUGCCUUUGAAACUGUCUGGCUUGAGGCCGGGAGAGGGUAGCGGAAUUCCCAGUGUAGCGGUGAAAUGCGUAGAUACUGGGAGGAACACCGGUGGCGAAGGCGGCUACCUGGACCGGUUCUGACGCUGAUGCGCGAAAGCGUGGGUAGCAAACAGG